CCCCCCCGCCACAUCAACUCCACCUCUCAGAGACCUGGGAGGAGUCGCCCCCCCCACCACCCCAAGGAUUUUCCCAACACCCCUCACUCCACCACCUCCCUGGGGUAUCCAGUAUAUGUGACCCCUCCCCUCCCCUCCUUCAGACCCCCAGACCCAGCUCCAGCUCUGUUUUGUGUCUCCAGAUACCCCUGACCCCACAUCUGAGACGACCUUGCUGUCAGCUCUGACCUACUCCAGGCAAAAGCAGGAGAGGACCCUGGUAUCCAGGGCCAGCCCCCAGACGGGGGGGCUGGUCUUGCUAAUCUUGGUGCCCACUCUUUUCUGUCUGGGCUUUACCUUGUGGCAGCUCCAACAGAGGUUGUGGAGACAGAGGACCCAGGUGCCUGAGGAGAUGGGCACCUGAAUGGAAAGAGAACGGGACCUGAUAGGAAGCAAUGACUGGGGUUCACCAGAGCUGCCCCAGCUCCAGCCUCCAUGGGCUGCAGCCAGGCCAAGUAUGGGGAGAAAGAGCUCCUCUCCUUCUAUGGCGCCUCUCCCCUCCAUGGGCUGAGUUGGGGGGCUGGGAUCCCACCAGGGGCCUUACCCCUCAUCCCCUCCAGGGGCAUGGUGGCACCUGGAACCUGCAGCAAAGACAUGGGUGUGGUACCCACCUCCAGCCACUAGGAGGUGAUGUGCCCAGGCCCCACCCCGCCUUCCCUGUACGGAGAACAUUACUAUACUGUGUAUAUAGAUAAAUAGAUUUUUAUAUAAAAAUAUCUAUAUUUUAUAUAAAGCUGCUUUUAAU
rnacentral:lncRNA from 1 species